rnacentral:rRNA from 1 species
GAUGAACGCUGGCGGCGUGCCUAAUACAUGCAAGUCGAGCGAACAGACGAGGAGCUUGCUCCUCUGACGUUAGCGGCGGACGGGUGAGUAACACGUGGAUAACCUACCUAUAAGACUGGGAUAACCUCGGGAAACCGGAGCUAAUACCGGAUAAUAUAUUGAACCGCAUGGUUCAAUAGUGAAAGACGGUUUUGCUGUCACUUAUAGAUGGAUCCGCGCCGCAUUAGCUAGUUGGUAAGGUAACGGCUUACCAAGGCAACGAUGCGUAGCCGACCUGAGAGGGUGAUCGGCCACACUGGAACUGAGACACGGUCCAGACUCCUACGGGAGGCAGCAGUAGGGAAUCUUCCGCAAUGGGCGAAAGCCUGACGGAGCAACGCCGCGUGAGUGAUGAAGGUCUUCGGAUCGUAAAACUCUGUUAUUAGGGAAGAACAAAUGUGUAAGUAACUAUGCACGUCUUGACGGUACCUAAUCAGAAAGCCACAGCUAACUACGUG